AUGUAACAUCAGGUACUGCAGAGUACAGGCCAGGCUAGAGAUGUGCACCUAAAUGUAACAUCAGGUAGUACAGAAGACAUGCCAGGCUAGGGAUGUGCACCUAAAUGUAACAUCAGGUACUACAGAGUACAGGCCAGGCUAGAGAUGUGCACCUAAAUGUAACAUCAGGUAGAACAGAGUACAGGCCAGGCUAGAGAUGUGCACCUAAAUGUAACAUCAGGUAGUACAGAAGACAGGCCAGGCUAGAGAUGUGCACCUAAAUGUAACAUCAGGUAGAACAGAGUACAGGCCAGGCUAGUGAUGUGCACCUAAAUGUAACAUCAGGUAGAACAGGGUACAGGCCAGGCUAGAGAUGUGCACCUAAAUGUAACAUCAGGUAGAUGAUGCAAAGCCUUGAUUGUUAUGUUUCCCAAGGUUUCCUGGCUGUUCCUAGCUGCCUUUUUGCAGGAAAACAUAAUGAUUUAAAUGAAUGAAUGAAUGUAAUUCAUCCUCCUACACAUCUGCUUGGGGCUUCCAACUCAGGGAAGUGAAUCUAAUCACUCUGUUUUAUCACUGACAGGUGAAAUAUCGGCUUAUGUUUAUAGAUAUUUGACAAAACACACAAUAAAUAUGAUUUUAGUUAUUUGUGCAUUAAUACAAACUUGUUUGUA